rnacentral:lncRNA from 10 species
UUGCUGGAAUACAGAUGUGAUGGCUAGAGCUAGAACAGUCAUGUUGGAUCUCUGAAAUGGAAAUCGUAGAAAUUGAGAAUGACGGAGCAAAAAGAGAGUAGUGAUGAUGACUGGAGCCAGAGCAGCCAUGGUGGAUCAAGAGAUGAAAGCCACAGUUGAAGAUGGCAGAGCUAUUACACAGAGGGAGGCUGUGUCUCUAAGAUGGCACAGCUGCUGCAUACCAAUAACCCUGCCUAUCCAAACUAUUACGUGAGUGGGAACUAACCUGCACCUUGUUUGAGCCACUGUGUUUCAGG